rnacentral:lncRNA from 1 species
CCAUUCUCAGCCUGACAAGUCCUGCUCCUGACUUGGAGCUGUGACGUGCCUUCCCAAAAGCCCAUGUGGUCUGCAGUAGAAGAUGCCAGGCUCAGGACUCUCGGUAUCCCAAGACAGACUCAAAGGGGAGCCAGAACACCAUUCUACUGCAUCAUCUCGUUGUGCAAGGAUAGUGUAGGCAUAGCUGGCAGAGAGCUGGGCUCAGAACUUUGCUGGCAACGAAUACGUCACGGUCCUUGCGCUUGUGAGGCAGGCGGCGGAACCGCUGAGCUAAAUCCCUGGGACUUGGAGUAGAACGUGUACCAUCACCCGCCAUAGCCAGACUCAGGCUAAGUGGGAUCCCACUGACUAUCCUGGGUCUCAACCUUAAAACGAACAGAUUGUGAGCAACUCCUCAGCCUCCAAGAUUGCAUGAGCCAGUGCCUCGUAAUGAGUCUCUCCGCAGAUCUGUGUGUAUCCUACUAGCUCUGCCUCCCUAGAGAAUCAGAGUACGCUACCUCUUGGCAAAAAAGUCACCCCCAGUGGUCCUUUCCUCCUUCCUUUCUAUGACAGCGAUGAUGGAAUUAAAAGUCUGAGUAACAACAUAUUCAUUUAUCCAUCUGUCCAGGUGACAUUCAUUGUCU